rnacentral:rRNA from 1 species
GAAUCAUCGAGUCUUUGAACGCAUAUUGCGGCWSCRGGUGSRCUCUCCGGAGCCACGCCUGUCUGAGGGUCGGCGAACAUACUCGCAAGAUCCUAUCCAAAUCCCACACGAUCUUUCGUAGGCCGGGGAUAUAGGGUUAACUAGUGGUCUUGCGCCUUGGUGGUCGUGUGUUUUCUCGGCUCUGAGAAAAAUAUUGCGUUCACCGCAGAAGAGAAUGGGUUCGCCUGCCUUUGGCGCCGUCACCUCGCUGGGAAAACUUCCCCUUUGGAGUGUGGAGACGUGGCUCGCUUCAUGACCGAGUAUCGCGCUCUGCUUCCAGUCUGCUCGGACCCCCAUGUGGGSAAUUACCAAAAAAAAAUUCCCCGUGGGGGAGUUAACUUCUGCGUUGUGACUGUGCCAGCGACCCUGCGAAACGAGGGACCGUUGCGUUCCUCUUCACACUCCGACCUCAGAUCAGACGAGACUACCCGCUGAAWUUAMKCAUAUUAAUAAGCGGAGGAAAAGAAAACUAACC